rnacentral:rRNA from 1 species
GGUAGUGACAGAAAUAACAAUACGGGGCUUAAUGUCUUGUAAUUGGAAUGAUGGGAAUUUAAACCUCUUCCAGAGUAUCAAUUGGAGGGCAAGUCUGGUGCCAGCAGCCGCGGUAAUUCCAGCUCCAAUAGCGUAUAUUAAAAUUGUUGCAGUUAAAAAGCUCGUAGUUGAAUUUCUGCUGCAUUUCAUUUCUCUUUCUGAGUUUGUUUUUGCGGCUUAUUUCGGUUUGAUUUUUUCUUUCCGGAUGAUUACUUUGAGAAAAUUAGAGUGCUCAAAGCAGGCUUUUGCCUUGAAUAGUUUAGCAUGGAAUAAUAAAGUAGGACUUUGGUUCUAUUUUGUUGGUUUUAGGUACCAAAGUAAUGGUUAAUAGGAACAGUUGGGGGCAUUCGUAUUUAACUGUCAGAGGUGAA